rnacentral:rRNA from 1 species
AUUGAACGCUGGCGGCAGGCCUAACACAUGCAAGUCGAACGAGUGGCGGACGGGAGAGUAAUGUGUGGGAAACUGCAGGAGGGAGGGGGAUAACUACUGAAAACGGUAGAAAAUACCGUAUACCAUAAGAUGCGCCCAGAUGGGAUUAGCUAGUGGGUGGGGAAAGGGCACACCAAGGCGACGAUCCCUAGCUGGUCUGAGAGGAUGACCAGCCACACUGGAACUGAGACACGGUCCAGACUCCUCCGGGAGGCAGCAGUGGGGAAUAUUGCACAAUGGGCGCAAGCCUGAUGCAGCCAUGCCGCGUGUAUGAAGAAGGCCUUCGGGUUGUAAAGUACUUUCAGCGGGGAGGCGUUACCCGCAGAAGAAGCACCGGCUAACUCCGUGCCAGCAGCCGCGGUAAUUC